UACGUAGGGGGCUAGCGUUGUCCGGAUUUAUUGGGCGUAAAGAGCGUGUAGGCGGCCAUGUAGGUCCGGUGUGAAAACUCGAGGCUUAACCUCGAGAUGUCAUCGGAAACCAUUUGGCUAGAGUCCGGAAGAGGAGGGUGGAAUUCCUGGUGUAGCGGUGAAAUGCGCAGAUAUCAGGAAGAACACCAAUGGCGAAAGCAGCUCUCUGGGACGGUACUGACGCUGAGACGCGAAAGCGUGGGGAGCGAACAGG
rnacentral:rRNA from 1 species